UUGCUGUGAUGACUAACUUAGGACACCUUUGGAAUAACCGUGAAAGGAAACUCUUCUGAGCAAC